rnacentral:rRNA from 1 species
UACGAAGGGGGCUAGCGUUGCUCGGAAUCACUGGGCGUAAAGGGCGCGUAGGCGGCCUUCUAAGUCGAACGUGAAAUCCCCGGGCUCAACCCGGGAACUGCGUCCGAUACUGGAAGGCUUGAAUCCGGGAGGGGGAUGCAGAAUUCCAGGUGUAGCGGUGAAAUGCGUAGAUAUCUGGAGGAAUACCGGUGGCGAAGGCGGCAUCCUGGACCGGCAUUGACGCUGAGGAGCGAAAGCCAGGGGAGCAAACGGG